rnacentral:lncRNA from 1 species
GAGGAAACGAUCCAGCAACCCAAAGUUGACUGGGAGACGACGGCCUAGACCACUCACGAACUCAUCACAGCAUCCUCCACGCGCCUCAUCCUUUGGUACCUGCUCUUGACCUGUGGGGGGUGUGAGACAGCAAGAGUGAGCUCACAUACGUUCAUCGCUCAACAAGUUGUGGGGAAUAAUGUGAAUGAACUCGCCAAAGGUGGGAGUUCAUGUGAAGUGUAAGGCUUGCCAAAGAGGAUGGUUAGAGCUGUGCAUUGCUUUUAAAGUUGGUCAAAAUUUUAUUAGCAGUUACUAAGUAUAAGUAAAUACCAACCCAAUUAAAUAGUAGAACAGAAGUAACAACAUCACCUGCGAUGCAAUGCAUAUGACAAAUUGAAUUUGAGUUCCAUAAAUUAAUCAUGUGAGGGUCCGAGCUGCUCAUGACCGUGAGCACGGCUAGUAUACCAGUUUUACACUCUGCAGAGGUGGCGCAUCUUUACCCACAAGUCAUGUUACCCAUCUGCCAAGGGAUCGCGACUUCCCAUACACCUCUACCGAGGAGGUGAGGCAGGGUAACACUACGAGGCCUUUACAAAGUUCCACUAGCUUCAGAAAACCCGCUACAGUUUAUAGGAAGCUCCAAUGCAGGAAUCCCUUGCAGGACCGCCAUCGCAGCAAAAUCCUCCCGAGGGCCUCCCUACACUGACCACUCCCCUACUGCCCUUGCCCCUUUCGGGUAAGGUAGUCUUCCACUAGCUUUCCUAAUUAAUCAGCCAAGGGCGUCCCAUUAAACCCUUGUGGUAGCACUGUUUUCCCGGGUGGUCGCUCCAUGUUCCAAUUAACAUAAUGAUCUUAUCAUGAACAGUAAUAAUAAACAGAUAAUAAAAGUGUGAUCAUGAAUAGUGUAUCUUCAUACCCAAAACCACAUAAAGCACUAGCAAGUACUACCCAAAAAGUUCAGUGGUAAACAAGGUAUAAAGAUAAUCAAACUAGGGUAACCUAUUGGGUCCCAUCAAAAUUAACCUAUGCAGAUCAUUAUGAUUAAUUAGAACAUGAGUGGGUAAAAAGAAGUGAUCAAGGGCACAACUUGCCUGGGACUUGAGUUUCCAGGUACCAACUUGCUCUUCAGAUGACACAUGUCCUCACGCUAGUCGUAGCAAUACAAACAAACAUGGUAUAGGCAAGAUUAACAUCACACCAAUCAUAAGAAUAAAUUGCGUCAUAAUAAUCUACGCGUCGCUACGAGAUCGUGGGAUCGAGAACUACUAAGAUCGGAGUCAUGGUUGAGGAGUUAUGAUUUCUCGAAGGUUUUAUGUAUUUAAUAAAAGAUUAAGUACUAGAUAAAUUUUAAUGAGACUUUCAUGUCAAAACAAAGGCACUAAUGGUUAGACAAUAAUAUUACAAAAAUUUAGAAACUGGAAUGGACCAAUUUGGAGUUCAUAUGCAUUUGCUAUGAAUUAUACAAAUUCUAUGAAUUGUUUUCACAUUAAAAACUCAUUUUCUAUAUCUUUUUCCUGAUUUCCCAAGUUCCUGGACUACGCCUCAAAUACCAGAAAGAGCAGGGUUCCCGGCGCAAGAAACCAGAGACCCAGCGCACAGUGGAGUGCGAUGGCGGGUUGAUUCUGCGAAAACUUGGGGUCUCUUUAGAAAAAUGUACCCGCGAAGGGGUAUCGCGGCAUGUGAGCCGCACGAUCUAAAUCGGACGCGCGGGAUUAGAUGGAGUUCCAUAUGAACCGGUAUUAAACUACGGCCGUCCGAUUAAAGAUCGAUGGUCAGGGUUUUAUGAAGUGAGAUCUAAUAGGGGUCGAACAGAUCGCAUCCAACGGCCCUGCCUACGUUUCCCAUCCUAACCAAUUGUGGUCGUUGAUUAUGGAUCAAACGGCCACGCCCUUCUCUUCCCCACGCUUCAGAACAGCGGCGCGACAGCUCCUCCAAUCCAAGCCAAGCGCGGCGGCGCCGGUGACGCAUACGGAGGUGACCUCACCGGCGAUAAAUGAAUUCCACCGUCUUCCUCUAUCCUCUGUCCUCUAUCCACCACGACAGUGAGGCCCCGCUCGCGGCGGCGAUCAACGCCGGCCGACCACCACUAUCCAAAUUCCGCCCCGAAAUCUCGAUCCGAUAGGUGCAAACCGUAAUAGAGGUAAAUGCGGAACUAAUUACAGUUAUCUCACCGAGUAUUGGAGGGUGGCCACUCCCGGACGCGGCGAUGGGCGGCUUCCCGUGGCGGUGGGACCUCCGGCGAGGAAUCCGUGCCGCUACGUCGUUCGAUCCCUCCCGAAUUCAAGGUGAAGCUCCCGAGCCGGUCUUGGAGCCCUCACUGUUAGCGUCUGCGCGUGUCAACACGGUCGCCUAGGGAACUUCGCACGAACAGAUAAGGGAAGGGGACGAUGUUCUACCGGCGGG